GUACUCGCUUCGGCAGUACAUAUACUUAAAUUGGAACGAUAUAGAAAAAAAUCGCAUGCCCCUUGCGCUAGGAUGAUACGCAAAAUCAUGAAGCGUUCCACAUUUUU